UCCUUCAGGCUUCAGCUCAGAAGCUCCGGCUGCACGUUCAUCCUGCGGAGGACUUCCUCCGGCAUACAGAACACUGGAUUUACUGGCUUAAUUACUUCUUCUCCUAGGAGAGACAAUCCGGCGAUGCCAAACAGGUUUUAUCCAGAUCUGCAGAAUAACUCACCAUAUCCCCGGGCCGGUCUGCAAACCCCCCGGUCUCCUCAUCCUGGCAGGCCAGAAUAAACAGUCGCAGCUUCUCUCCGUCUAUCCAGUGAAGUCUUCCAAUAAUUUUUAGAGAAGCCAAAACCCACCAGGAAUAGCAGACAUCAGGGAGCUGCAACCCAAGUGUUGCACUCAAACAUCUUGGAGACACUUACCGAGUCGUAGAUCAAGCAGCUGCUACACCUGAAAUUCUCCAUUGGUCAACGAUUAAGCCAAGUCCCAGGUCCUGGGGGAGAUUUUAAAAUGACUUCUCACCACCCUUUCUGAAGGUAGGCGUACACCUAUUGGGGCGGAAGAAGCGUCAAGCUGUGACGCGAAACUAGUCGCCUCUGGUGGUGUGUCUCCGCAUCCUGAGAGCGGCUGCUCUCGCUCCCCUCGUGUGUGACCGCGUUUUAUUGUUCCACUCUGCCAGUGUGAAUAAAGGACAAGAUUGUGAAUACUGCUCC